rnacentral:rRNA from 1 species
UACGGGGGGAGCAAGCGUUGUUCGGAUUUACUGGGCGUAAAGGGCGCGUGGGCGGCCAGCACAAGUCAGUUGCGAAAUCUCCGAGCUUAACUCGGAACGGUCAACUGAUACUGUGCGGCUAGAGUGCGGAAGGGGCAACUGGAAUUCUUGGUGUAGCGGUGAAAUGCGUAGAUAUCAAGAGGAACACCUGCGGCGAAGGCGGGUUGCUGGGCCGACACUGACGCUGAGGCGCGAAAGCUAGGGGAGCGAACGGG